rnacentral:rRNA from 1 species
UCCCAGACUCCUACGGGAGGCAGCAGUGAGGAAUAUUGGUCAGUGGGCUUACGCCUGAACCAGCCAAGUCGCGUGAGGGAAGACUGCCCUAUGGGUUGUAAACCUCUUUUGUCAGGGAGCAAUUGGCGCUACGUGUAGCGUUAUCGAGAGUACCUGAAGAAAAAGCAUCGGCUAACUCCGUGCCAGCAGCCGCGGUAAUACGGAGGAUGCGAGCGUUAUCCGGAUUUAUUGGGUUUAAAGGGUGCGUAGGCGGCGCUUCAGGUCAGCGGUGAAAUACCGGGGCUCAACCCCGGGGCUGCCGUUGAAACCGGAGCGCUAGAAUUCCGAUGCCGUCGGAGGAAUGUGUGGUGUAGCGGUGAAAUGCAUAGAUAUCACACAGAACACCGAUUGCGAAGGCAUCUGACGAAUCGGAGAUUGACGCUGAUGCACGAAAGCGUGGGUAUCGAACAGGAUUAGAUACCCUUGUAAUA